rnacentral:rRNA from 1 species
UGGGGGAUAUUGCACAAUGGGCGAAAGCCUGAUGCAGCAACGCCGCGUGGGGGAUGAAGGCUUUCGGGUUGUAAACCUCUUUCGCUAUCGAACAAGGCCCGCUUAGGGUGGGUUGAGGGUAGGUGGAGAAGAAGCGCCGGCUAACUACGUGCCAGCAGCCGCGGUAAUACGUAGGGCGCGAGCGUUGUCCGGAAUUAUUGGGCGUAAAGGGCUUGUAGGCGGCUUGUUGCGCCUGCUGUGAAAACGCGGGGCUUAACUUCGCGCGUGGAGUGGGUACGGGCAGGCUUGAGUGUGGUAGGGGUGACUGGAAUUCCAGGUGUAGCGGUGGAAUGCGCAGAUAUCUGGAGGAACACCGAUGGCGAAGGCAGGUCACUGGGCCAUUACUGACGCUGAGGAGCGAAAGCAUGGGUAGCGAACAGG